GACGAAGGUGGCGAGCGUUGUUCGGAAUCACUGGGCCUAAAGCGCACGUAGGCGGUGACGUAAGUCGGGUGUGAAAUCCCUCGGCCUAACCGAGGAACUGCGCCCGAUACUGCGUUGCUUGAGGACCAGAGGGGUGCAUGGAAUUUCCGGCGGAGCGGUGAAAUGCGUUGAUAUCGGAAGGAACUCCGGCGGCGAAAGCGAUGCACUGGCUGGUUUCUGACGCUGAGGUGCGAAAGCCAGGGGAGCAAACGGG
rnacentral:rRNA from 1 species